AAGACUAUAGACCUGCGGAGUACCUGCGGAAGGAUCAUUACCGAGUUAUCAACUCCCAAACCCCUGUGAACAUACCCGAACGUUGCCUCGGCGGGACCGCCCCGGCGCCCCUAGCGGCCCGGAACCAGGCGCCCGCCGGAGGACCCAAACUCUUGCUUUAAACAGUGGCAUACUCUCUGAGUCUCACAAACAAAAAAUAAAUCAAAACUUUCAACAACGGAUCUCUAGAUCGGAAGAGCA
rnacentral:misc_RNA from 1 species